rnacentral:rRNA from 1 species
UGGGGAAUAUUGCGCAAUGGGGGAAACCCUGACGCAGCAACGCCGCGUGAAGGAUGAAGGUUUUCGGAUUGUAAACUUCUUUGAUGGGGGACGAAUAAAUGACGGUACCCCAAAAACAAGCCACGGCUAACUACGUGCCAGCAGCCGCGGUAAUACGUAGGUGGCGAGCGUUGUCCGGAAUUACUGGGUGUAAAGGGCGUGUAGGCGGGAUUGUAAGUCAGAUGUGAAAUUCCGAGGCUCAACUUCGGAGCUGCAUCUGAAACUGUGAUUCUUGAGUGCUGGAGAGGAUAGUGGAAUUCCUAGUGUAGCGGUGAAAUGCGUAGAUAUUAGGAGGAACACCAGUGGCGAAGGCGGCUAUCUGGACAGUAACUGACGCUGAGGCGCGAAAGCGUGGGGAGCAAACAGGAUUAGAUACCCUGGUAGUCCACGCUGUAAACGAUGAGUACUAGGUGUAGGAGGUAUCGACCCCUUCUGUGCCGCAGUUAACACAAUAAGUAUUCCACCG